UACGUAGGGUGCAAGCGUUGUCCGGAAUUAUUGGGCGUAAAGAGCUCGUAGGCGGUCUGUCGCGUCUGGUGUGAAAAUCCAGGGCUUAACCCUGGACCUGCAUCGGGUACGGGCAGACUAGAGUGCGGUAGGGGGAGAUCGGAAUUCCUGGUGUAGCGGUGAAUGCGCAGAUAUCAGGAGGAACACCGGUGGCGAAGGCGGAUCUCUGGGCCGUAACUGACGCUGAGGAGCGAAAGCAUGGGGAGCGAACAGG
rnacentral:rRNA from 1 species